UACGAACUGUGCGAACGUUAUUCGGAAUCACUGGGCUUACAGGGUGCGUAGGCGGCUAUUCAGGUCAGGUGUGAAAGCCCCCGGCUCAACCGGGGAACUGCGCUUGAAACCGAGUGGCUCGAGUCAGCUAGAGGUACACGGAACUUCCAGUGGAGCGGUGAAAUGUGUUGAUAUUGGAAGGAACACCGGAGGCGAAAGCGGUGUACUGGGGCUGGUCUGACGCUGAGGCACGAAAGCCAGGGGAGCGAACGGGAGUUAGAAA
rnacentral:rRNA from 1 species